rnacentral:rRNA from 1 species
GGCUCAGAUUGAACGCUGGCGGCAGGCCUAACACAUGCAAGUCGAGCGGAUGAAGAGAGCUUGCUCUCUGAUUCAGCGGCGGACGGGUGAGUAAUGCCUAGGAAUCUGCCUGGUAGUGGGGGACAACGUCUCGAAAGGGACGCUAAUACCGCAUACGUCCUACGGGAGAAAGCAGGGGACCCUCGGGCCUUGCGCUAUCAGAUGAGCCUAGGUCGGAUUAGCUAGUUGGUGAGGUAAUGGCUCACCAAGGCGACGAUCCGUAACUGGUCUGAGAGGAUGAUCAGUCACACUGGAACUGAGACACGGUCCAGACUCCUACGGGAGGCAGCAGUGGGGAAUAUUGGACAAUGGGCGAAAGCCUGAUCCAGCCAUGCCGCGUGUGUGAAGAAGGUCUUCGGAUUGUAAAGCACUUUAAGUUGGGAGGAAGGGUUGUAGAUUAAUACUCCGCAAUUUUGACGUUACCGACAGAAUAAGCACCGGCUAACUCUGUG